rnacentral:ncRNA from 2 species
AUGACGAGUACGGGAGAGAAUCUCUCAAGGAUCACCGAAGAAGUAAACCGCAGACAGUCAAGCUGCAGCGAAACUUUCAGGUAAACGGACCGUAUUCUGACA